UACGUAGGGUGCGAGCGUUAAUCGGAAUUACUGGGCGUAAAGCGUGCGCAGGCGGUUCGUUGUGUCUGAUGUGAAAGCCCCGGGCUCAACUUGGGAACGGCAUUGGAAACUGGCGAGCUAGAGUGUGGCAGAGGGGGGUGGAAUUCCGCGUGUAGCAGUGAAAUGCGUAGAGAUGCGGAGGAACACCGAUGGCGAAGGCAGCCCCCUGGGCCAACACUGACGCUCAGGCACGAAAGCGUGGGGAGCAAACAGG
rnacentral:rRNA from 1 species